rnacentral:rRNA from 1 species
UACGAAGGGGGCUAGCGUUGCUCGGAAUCACUGGGCGUAAAGGGUGCGUAGGCGGGUCUUUAAGUCAGAGGUGAAAUCCUGGAGCUCAACUCCAGAACUGCCUUUGAUACUGAGAGUCUCGAGUCCGGGAGAGGUGAGUGGAACUGCGAGUGUAGAGGUGAAAUUCGUAGAUAUUCGCAAGAACACCAGUGGCGAAGGCGGCUCACUGGCCCGGUACUGACGCUGAGGUGCGAAAGCGUGGGGAGCAAACAGGG